UGCCAGCCGCCGCGGUAAUACGGGGGGGGUUAGCGUUGUUCGGAAUUACUGGGCGUAAAGCGCGCGUAGGCGGCAUGCCAAGUUAGAGGUGAAAUCCCGGAGCUUAACUCCGGAACUGCCUUUAAAACUGGUAAGCUAGAGGAUGUGAGAGGUGAGUGGAAUUCCGAGUGUAGAGGUGAAAUUCGUAGAUAUUCGGAAGAACACCAGUGGCGAAGGCGACUCACUGGCUCGGUACUGACGCUGAGGUGCGAAAGCGUGGGGAGCAAACAGGAUUAGAUA
rnacentral:rRNA from 1 species